GUAGUCCACGCCCUAAACGAUGUCGACUAGUUGUUGGGGGAGUCUGUCCCUCAGUAACGUAGCUAACGCGUGAAGUCGACCGCCUGGGGAGUACGGUCGCAAGAUUAAAACUCAAAGGAAUUGACGGGGACCCGCACAAGCGGUGGAUUAUGUGGAUUAAUUCGAUGCAACGCGAAGAACCUUACCUACCCUUGACAUGCCAGGAACCCUGCAGAGAUGCAGGGGUGCCCGAAAGGGAACCUGGACACAGGUGCUGCAUGGCUGUCGUCAGCUCGUGUCGUGAGAUGUUGGGUUAAGUCCCGCAACGAGCGCAACCCUUACCAUUAGUUGCUACAUUCAGUUGGGCACUCUAAUGGGACUGCCGGUGACAAACCGGA
rnacentral:rRNA from 1 species